rnacentral:rRNA from 1 species
GAUGAACGCUAGCUACAGGCUUAACACAUGCAAGUCGAGGGGUAACGAGAGGAAAGCUUGCUUUCCUUGUCGACGACCGGCGCACGGGUGAGUAACGCGUAUCCAACCUGCCCCCAACUAGGGAAUAACCUUGCGAAAGUAAGACUAAUACCCUAUAAUUUCCUCAGAUGUCAUCUGACGAGGAAUAAAGAUUUAUCGGUCGUGGAUGGGGAUGCGUCUGAUUAGCUUGUUGGCGGGGUAACGGCCCACCAAGGCAACGAUCAGUAGGGGUUCUGGGAGGAACGUCCCCCACAUUGGAACUGAGACACGGUCCAAACUCCUACGGGAGGCAGCAGUGAGGAAUAUUGGUCAAUGGGCGGAAGCCUGAACCAGCCAAGUAGCGUGCAGGAUGACGGCCCUAUGGGUUGUAAACUGCUUUUAUACAGGAAUAAAGUUAGCCACGUGUGGUUAUUUGUAGGUACUGUAUGAAUAAGGACCGGCUAAUUCCGUGCCAGCCGCCGCAGUAA